GAAAAAAGAAGAAGAAAGAAGAAAGAAGAAAGAAGAAAGAAGAAGAAGAAGAAGAAGAAGAAGAAGAAGAAGAAGAAGAAGAAGAAGAAGAAGAAGAAGAAUCUUUGACACUCCCAGAGGCCCUUCUCAGGUGAUUCUAGGUGGUGUCAAACUGAUGAUGAAAACUAAUCAUCUUAACUCCACCCCUUAUCAACCUGACCACAAACAUAUCACUUUAAACUACAGUCCCUUGUCCCCAUAAGCUCAUGGUCGCCUGGUAACACAAGGUACACUAGGCACACUUUUAAAGUUCAAUACCACAGUCAUUAAAAGUAUCAACACAUUAAAAAGUCCAAAGUCUCUUGAGUUCCUAUAAAAGUCACAUCCUUCCAACAUGCAAUGGCACAGAGUACAAAUUCCUGCUCCACAGUGGAAGAACCAGGAUGUAGGAGGGAACAGUCACAACAAAGCAAACCCAGAAUCUGUAAGGCAGAUGCCUUACAAGUCCUAAAGCUCUGUGUUCUGGAUCUGGGGCUUGCAAUAUAAUCACCUGGGCUCCAAAAAAGCUUCCAGUGUCUCCCGCCUCCAUCUCCUUUACACAUAGAUUCUCUGCUAGGUUAAGGCCACCACAUGCAGCCUUCUCAGUCCAUGGUUCAAUGGUCCUGGCAUCUCCAAUAUUCUGGAGUUGCCACUGCAGCUUCAGGCUCCACCUUGACAUCUUCACUCCUAAUAGCUUCUUAGGGUCUCUCAGCAGAGCCUUGAUACUCAUCCCCAAAUCUUGCAGCUUUCAUGCCUUCAAAACCAGUAACACCUAGACAACAGAUCUAGCACAGCCCCCUUGGACUACAGCAGCCCGCUGGUAUUAAAGGGGUAUGCUGCCACCACCGCCAGGCAGUUCAUUAUCUUUAUAUUAAACUUCACUCCAUUUCUCAGGACAUAGGCAAAAUGAAGUCAGAUUCUUUGCUAAAACAUCACACAAGCAGGGCGUUGGUGGUGCAUGUUUUUAAUCCCAGCACUUGGGAAGCAGAGGAAUGCAUCACCACUGCCCCACUUAAAAAAAACAAAACAAAACAAAACAAAGGUCUUAAAAGAAAAAACCAAGUUUAUUUUGAGGCGGAACUUCCCCAACUUGCUCAGCUUGGGCCUUGAUAUGGUUCUGCAGCUCAGGUCAGCUUUGAACUUCCUCUCUUCCUGUGGAAUCAGUUCUCGUCAGGCAUUUCUGGGCCUGGCGUGAGCAUCCUGCUAUGAUUGAACAUCUGGGUGCCCCCCCCAUCCCUAUGUAGAAAUCCUGUCCCCAAGCUGAUAGUAUUAGGAAGAGGGAGCACCUGUGGGAGAUGGGUGGGUCUCAAAGACUGAAUCCCCACAACAGGAGAUAAUGCCCUUAUGAAAUAGGCUCAAAGAACUCAUUUGUCUUUUCUGUCAUUCAAGGCCACGGCAGAGUCAUCUAUGAACCGGAAGUGGCUUGCCUGACUCAGAAUCUGCCAGAGCCUUGCUAUUGGGUUUCCUAUUCUCUAAAAUUGGGAGACAGACUUCUUUUGUUUACAAGCCCCUCCAUCCAUGAGAUUUGUUCUGGCAGCCCAGACAAAGAAACAUCCCAAAGCCAAGAAGGCACUACCAGACAGCAAUGUGUGUGGCCUCCCCCAGCAUCCUUGAUAUCCAGCCUUGCCCAGCUUGCUCCUUGUCCUCCCCCACAGGAAGGUGGUGAUUGGGACCAGGAGCUGGGGAGCAGAAGAGACUUGUUGCUAAGCAGAUGUUCCUUUGGGCACAGCGAGACACUCACCCUGUGCCUAACUAAGGAAAGUGCUUCAGCUCUUGUAUAUGUUCUCCCAUCUGCACAGUGAAAAAUGACACAGGUCCUGUGACCUUCAGAGAUUUCUAACUCUCCAAGUGCCAAGGCAUGGGCCCCUGACUUCUGUCCUCCUGGGUCCCCAGACCCCAGCCUUGAGUAAAUGGAAGCCUACCUCACUGUUGGGGAAUUCUGUCUGGGUUUAACAGACCCCAGAUGCUGUCUUGACGCAGGAGAAACCAGAGGAGGGAGGCAGGGGGAUGCCUGUUUCCCACAAAGACUCAGGACCAGGGUCUCCUUUGCAGACUUAUGCACAAGGAUGGAGACGAAGAACUCCAGGAUUGGCAGAGGAGCAAGGUCCCCCACGUGGAGAGGCACACUCACUCCCUCUCCCACAGGCUGGGCCAGAUGGUGCAGGCAGCUGAGGGGAGGCUCUUUGCUCCCACCUUCCCUAUUGGCUCUGUAGGGAACUGGAUUUAUUUUCACAUGAGAGACAUGUGGAGGGAAGCCUUCUUCACAAGCAGUUCUGGGGCUCAGGAAAUAUUUUAAUCCAACAGAACCACAGUUGUAGCAUUAUGGAGCCUAGAAUCUUAGAGGCCCAGCAUCUUGGCAUGUUAGAAAGUGAGUCACAGGAUUUUAGGUU
rnacentral:lncRNA from 1 species